UCUUGAAAUUCAAAGAAUUUGGCGGUAUUUUAGUCUUGUUAGAGGAACCUGUUUUAUAAACGAUACAACACGUAAUAUCUUACUAAUUUUUGUUUAGCAGUUUGUAUACCGUCAUUAUUAGAUAACUUUUAUAGGAUAAGUUAUUAUAAUUAAAUACUUAAAUAUAUUAGAUCAAGGUGCAGCUAAUAAAUUAGAAAAAAUGGGUUACAAUGAAAUUUAUUUAGAACGAAUCAAUAUUUGAAAGUAAUAUUGUGAAGGGGGAUUUAAUUGUAAUUAAAAAUUUAACAGGGUUUAGUGAUAUAAGUACUAAAUUAUGUACAUAUCGCCCGUCGCU
rnacentral:rRNA from 1 species